GACGAACGCUGGCGGCGUGCUUAACACAUGCAAGUCGAACGGAAAGGCCCUGCUUUCGUGCGGUGCUCGAGUGGCGAACGGGUGAGUAACACGUGAGUAACCGGCCCUUGACUUUGGGAUAAGUUCAGGAAACUGGGGUUAAUAUCGGAUAGGAUAUCCUGCUCCAGGGUGGGGGUGGGAAAGUUGCGGCUGUUGGGGAUGGACGCGCGGCUUAUCAGCUUGCUGGUGGGGUAGUGGCUGACCAAGGCAUUGACGGAUCGCCGGCAUGAGAGGGUGGACGGCCACAUGGGGCCUACGGGACGGCGCAGAGUCGAACGGGAGGCAACGGGGGGAAGUAUUACACAAUGGGCGGAAGUCUGUUACAGAGACGUCGGGUGCGGGAUGACGGCCUUUGGGUUGUGAACCGCUUUCGCCUGUGACGAAGCGUGAGUGACGGUAAUGGGUAAAGAAGCACCGGCUAACUACGUG
rnacentral:rRNA from 1 species